rnacentral:tRNA from 1 species
ACCGAGUAUAGUGGUUAGUAUUCCCGCCUGUCACGCGGGGGACCCGGGUUCGAUCCCCAGCAACGGUG